GCUUGAUGAAACGAAGCGGCGGCGCGUCCAAUUCUACGAUCUGUCAUCAUCGUAAUACGGGCGAGAUGCCGUCUGCUCCGUGAUAUUUAAAUCAAAAGAUACGUGUAAAUUUGUGUGUUGCCGGACAGGCCGGACAGGUACGAACUGUUUGCGCGUAGUGUGUGCCGAUUUCGUGGACGAAAGUGUGGCGCGGUGAGAUAAUGAAUUUUGAAGUUUAGAUAGGAUAAUUGUAACUGAAUGAGACGAUGUUUUGCUGCUUGAGAAACUGCUUCGACGGCCUCGGCCUGUCGACAACGCAAAUGCCAAAAAGGGAACCGAACCCUAUCGCCCUAGACACUUCUCAUAUGGGUCACGAGGUUGUGAUUGUAAAGAAUGGUCUGAGAGUAUGCGGACGAGGUGCAGCUUUGACAAAUGCACCUUUGGCACAAAGUAAAAGUUACUUUGAGGUGAAAAUCCAGCAAGGCGGAGUUUGGGCAGUUGGUUUAGCAACGCGUUCUACCGAACUAAAUACCGCCGUAGGGGGAAGUGAUCAGGAAAGUUGGGCUUUGAAUUCUGAUGGUAUAAUACGUCAUAAUUCAGAAGAACUGCACAAGGUCCAGAACAUCGCUCAGGAGGGUGACAUAAUUGGGAUUUCAUAUGAUCAUAUAGAAUUGAACUUCUAUUUGAAUGGAAAGCUGCUAGAUGUUCCCAUCAUGGGAAUAAAAGUAACCAUAUACCCCAUCCUCUAUGUCGACGACGGAGCUAUUUUAGAUAUAAUAUUGGAUGAUUUUGCAUACCCGCCACCGAAUGGGUUUGAAAAAAUAAUGCUCGAGCAAUCCUUGCUCUAGCAUAUGUAUUCCACAGGCUAUUAAAAGGACACACGAAAAGCAUUCAACAAUAAGAAGAGAAACUAACCCAGUUACGCUCACACAGUAUUUUCUGAUCAAAGUUGACACACAACGGCUCUCGACUACCAAAAUGCUUUUUCUUAAGCUACAGCUAAGGUAUUAUGCAACGAAGAUACAAAACACAGAAUGAUAUGGCACAAUUUCGAAUAGAUAUCAUUGAAUGACGUUGUGCAGUUACGGAUGGUGUUUUUACAAUUUUCGACUUCACUUUCGUGUCCAGUCCUUAUUGGGGCGAUUUAAUUAUCAUCGAGACUCCGACCAUUUUGUUUUAAAAACUACAUAGGUUACUUGUAAAAGAGCAGGUCAAUGUUUUGCCUUUGUUGAUAGCUAAGUUGAAAAUGAUGUUCAGUAUAGUGAAUGUAAUGAAACAGUACUUAAAUGAAAAAAAAUUUACUGGGAAAAUAUUCCACUUGAGUAAGUGUCAAAUAAAUUUUUAUCACAAGCUGUAUAUAUCCUGCAGAACACCCUUGAUUCAAGCUGAUUAAAACGACACAUUUGCGAUA